rnacentral:rRNA from 1 species
UCCUAGUACGAGAGGACCGGAGUGAACGAACCUCUGGUGUUCGGGUUGUCACGCCAGUGGCACUGCCCGGUAGCUAAGUUCGGAAUCGAUAACCGCUGAAAGCAUCUAAGCGGGAAGCGAGCCCUGAGAUGAGUCAUCCCUGACCCCUUGAGGGUCCUAAAGGGCCGUUGGAGACCACAACGUUGAUAGGUGGGGUGUGUAAGCGUAGCGAUACGUUGAGCUAACCCAUACUAAUUACCCGUGAGGCUUAACCAUACAACACCCAAGAAGUGUU